rnacentral:rRNA from 1 species
CCUACGGGUGGCAGCAGUGAGGAAUAUUGGUCAAUGGGCGCUAGCCUGAACCAGCCAAGUCGCGUGAAGGAUGACUGCCCUAUGGGUUGUAAACUUCUUUUAUCUGGGAAUAAAGUGCAGUAUGCAUACUGCUUUGCAUGUACCUUAUGAAUAAGGAUCGGCUAACUCCGUGCCAGCAGCCGCGGUAAUACGGAGGAUCCGAGCGUUAUCCGGAUUUGUUGGGUUUAAAGGGAGGGUAGGCGGGUUGUUAAGUCGGGUGUGCAAGUUUGCGGCUCAACCGGAAAAUUGCAGUUGAUACUGGCAUCCUUGAGUACAGUAGAGGUAGGCGGAAUUCGUGGUGUAGCGGUGAAAUGCGUAGAUAUCACGAAGAACUCCGAUUGCGAAGGCAGCCUGCUGGACUGUAACUGACGCUGAGGCUCGAAAGUGUGGGUAUCAAACAGGAUUAGAUACCCUUGUAGUC